GACGCAUUUAGAAUACUGCGUGUGCCAUUACUAGCUUUAUAAAGCAACUAACUUGGAUUAUGUUUGCAUUUAUCUAAAUGCGUCGUCUUUAAAUGAUUUACGAAACAAUUUAAAUAAUGUUAAUUAACUAUUGAUACUUACUUGAAAUUUUGCUAUUUUACCGUUUUACGCGUUUUAAAGUACAUCAAAUAUUGUGUAAUAUAUAACCCGUUCGUAAUAUUUAAAUCGCAUGGGUCACACUAUUUUAUGGAUAUGUAUAUUCUGUGGAUGAUUAAAUGAUACAGUACAUAUAAAAUAUACUGAAUUAUUUGCUUCGAGUAAGAUGGAAUAUCAGCUCUUAGAAUAAGUGCAAGACGUUAUAUUAGUGAUUUGUUUUUAAUCUUUUUAGUACGAAUUAAACACUUUAAAGUGGUUACCUACCAUACAUGUAUAUGGUGUUUGAUGUACGAGCCAAUACAGAUUAUUUGGUAACACUUUGCCGACAAGAUGUUGUGUUCAAAGAUAAUUGCACAUCUCUAUUUGACACUAAUGGUGAUAUUACUGAUUUUCAUCAUUUAUUCCGAAGCUGCUUCAAGAGGGGUUUGUAAAAGGCCAACGCCCACUACAACAACACCAGCUCCUGAUUUAACAACAGAAGCAACACCUUAGGUAGAGGAUCAGUACCUUAGAGCCCCGAAUAACAAUAAUAUUCUAGUGUACAAAUUUUACAUCGUAAAAUAUAGAUAUUUUCAUUUACAUGAUAUUGACAAUGAUACGAUGCAACCUUCAUUCAUUAUCUUACUUUGAUGAAGAAAACAUUUUAAGGGCGCUUAUAAAUUAUCUAUCAUAAAAAAUGCAUUUUAUCAGAAGACAUACUACAACAAUAAUCCAUCGCUUAUCGAACUCUGUCAUUCUGGUCUUUCUGCCUAUGUUCCUGGACAUUGCGGAGACAUUGCUGAUCCUUAAUUAUGUAUAUACAAGGAAAUAUGCUCAGCACACAUGGCUUUUUGCCUCAAUUUUGACAUGACCAUACCUGAAAUUGUAAAUUUUAUUUGGGCAAUGGUACGAACCACCUGUAGUCAACCUGCAACAACUGAAACAAGCUCUGCACAAGAAUGGCAAAAUUUACCUUGAAAUCGCAUUAGACGCCUUGCUGGUAGUAUAAAAAAUGUUGAGGCUAUCAUUCGGGCACUUGGCGGUUACACACAUUAAUAAAAAUUUGGCUACAUAAUGUGAUUUUAGGUGACGUAAUCGUCAACUUUUACCAAAAAUAUCGACCAGUAAAUGUUUUGUAAAUGCUCCAACACAUACUUAUAAACACUUACAUUUUCUGGUAAAAGAAACAACACAUUUGCUUAUGCUUCAACAAUUUGGUUAAGAAGAAACUAUACUCAUAUAUUUACUGGUUUGUAAUGACUAAAUUGAUAUCGCUGCUCAUCAAAUUAUUAUUUCUUAGGUCAAUGAAGUCUCAUGACAGUGACUUCAAUCACAACAAAUUUUAAAUUAACGGGUGUGCUUUACUUAUUUCCAAGUGUAUAUUUGAAUACUCGUAAAAAUUUCUAAAGACUAAGAUUUUUUAACUUAGCAAAUGUUUUAUUACAUACUUGAAUUUUAGUAUAUAAUGUUUUCAUAAUUUCUAAAUACAUUUCACUGAGAACAUAUUUAACAGUCUCUCACAUAUGUUAUCAUAAUGUUGCUCAGAAUUUAAAAUUAUUUCGGAACAUGCAAAUAUGUUUGAACGAAUAACAAGAACUCUUAAAACGGAAAACCUCAUAAAAAGUAUAGCGAUAGCAAAUGUCAAUAUCUUUGACGACUCUUUGCAUGGAAUUUGGAUUUUAAACUAUGUAUCAUAAUUUAAUAAAUGUAGAAAUUAUCGGUUGAAAUUUGUGGAGCAUGAUAUAAACAUAGGGAUUAUUUUUCUUUUUUAGCUAUAAACGCCCAUAGAUGAAAUAUGUACUCCAAUCAUAUCAUGAUUUAAACCUUAUGUAAAUCAUAUCUCCGAGUCUAUUUAUUCUGUUUAUGAACCGUCUAUGGUUAUUAUGAAAACGUUUUAAGAUUUAAUUGUAGAUAAGUUUGAUAUUUAAUAUUGCAUUAAAUAACUAGCCCGCCUUCCGAUAAUUUUUUAUCCUUGAUUUUAAUAUUUCAAACUAAAUAUUACUUUAUUUGUGAAGUUACACUGCAUUGAACAUCUUUAUCUGAAAAAUAUCAAUACAGAAAUAACGGCUUGUUUUCGGUUUUUCUUUUAAUUGUAUUGCUUCUAUAUUACUAAAGCAAAAUUGAACUGUAAGUGCAAGUAUAUUUCAGAGCUUACACAGAUGUCACUAAAUUGUCGAGAAUUGUUUAUAUAUCAACGAAAUGUCCGUUGGACAUUCACCCAAUUAUAUAUAUACGUACAUGUUUAAAUCAAUUUGAAAACAUAAAAUCUAAUUAACAUAUGAUUUAUUUUGCUUGAUAGUUAUCAACAUUGAUAAAAUAAAAAUCGUUGAACUUGUCAUUUGAGGCAAGAUAGCGUUGCAUAAGUGUCGGGUUAAAAAAUUGCUUUUUAGUAGUUCCUCAUAAUUGUAAUAUUAUGUUUGACAAUAAUAAUACUUGAAACAGUCCGUGUGGUUACAAACAAACACACAAAACAAUAAACAUACAAAUAAUGGAUAAGUCUUUUAAUAUUAGUAAAUAAGUACAGAGGGUUCUCUACCCAGGGCUGCACGUUUGAUUUUUAUAUGUGAAACGUGUUCAGAAACAACUUUUAUUAACGUAAUUGCUACAUGUACACUUCCCUUUAGAUAACCCUAAACAAGGAAACAACUGCAUUAUUUUACUAACAAUUUGUAACGUUAUUUUCAUUUGGUACGUAACCUCAUAAAUUAAUUGUACAAUAAUUGUACCAUUAUUUGUUAUAAAAUAUAAAAUGGAAAUAGAAAAAAUUGAGAUAUCCCCCUUAUCAUGAACAUCUUUAA